rnacentral:rRNA from 1 species
GACGAACGCUGGCGGCGUGCUUAACACAUGCAAGUCGAACGGUAAGGCCCUUCGGGGUACACGAGUGGCGAACGGGUGAGUAACACGUGGGUGAUCUGCCCUGCACUUCGGGAUAAGCCUGGGAAACUGGGUCUAAUACCGGAUAGGACUCCUGGCUCCAUGGUUGGGGGUGGAAAGCUUUUGCGGUGUGGGAUGGGCCCGCGGCCUAUCAGCUUGUUGGUGGGGUAAUGGCCUACCAAGGCGACGACGGGUAGCCGGCCUGAGAGGGUGACCGGUCACACUGGGACUGAGAUACGGCCCAGACUCCUACGGGAGGCAGCAGUGGGGAAUAUUGCACAAUGGGCGCAAGCCUGAUGCAGCGACGCCGCGUGAGGGAUGACGGCCUUCGGGUUGUAAACCUCUUUCAGCUAUGACGAAGCGCAAGUGACGGUAGUAGCAGAAGAAGGACCGGCCGACUACGUGCCAGCAGCCGCCGUAA